rnacentral:rRNA from 1 species
UACGUAGGUGGCAAGCGUUGUCCGGAUUUAUUGGGUUUAAAGGGCGCGUAGGCGGUCUUUUAAGUCAGUGCUGAAAUACUCCAGCUUAACUGGAGGGGUGGCAUUGAUACUGGAAGACUUGAGUGCAGUCGAGGUAGGCGGAAUUGACGGUGUAGCGGUGAAAUGCUUAGAUAUCGUCAAGAACACCGAUAGUGAAGACAGCUUACUAGGCUGCAACUGACGCUGAGGAGCGAAAGCGUGGGGAGCGAACAGG